rnacentral:lncRNA from 1 species
UCUUUGUCUCUUGCUGGCGCUGGCACAGGAACUUGGGAUCCGUCUCCUCUUUCGCCUCCUCCGCUUUGGGAGCCCCGGGCUACUCUUUCACAGCCCCUGUUGCCCUGUGAUCUGUAGGUCCUUGGGGACGCACAGUUAAGAUGACAGGACAUCCUGGAAGCUGGGAAAUGAUAUGUAUUCAUUUCCUACCACCGUAGUGGAAGAGAGAUUUUCCCUAUCUUUACAACUGAUAGCAUUUCCAACAGUAAGCUGUGAGAUUCUGCUUGAAAUCACCUCUCAAACAAAUAAAAAACAGACCUGGGAGACAUGCUACACUCAUUCUGCUGAGGAAAUAGGCAUCAUAGCUGGGAAACGGAUUCACAAGACCCAGGCUGUUCCCUACAUAUGUUUCCUCCUCCGACAUCAGUUCAUCAGUCAAUCAAGCCAUGUGAGAGUGGAGGCCUUGUAUUCCCUAUUAUUCUUGGGCACUCUACUCCAAGUAGGAAAAGGCCAGGAGGUCCUGUUAAAGGAUGCACUCAGAGCCCGGGCUCCCUAACAUAUGAGAGUGCUAACCAGCAGGUGUAGACUUUUCAGGAGUGAAGAAUGAGGCAGGCAUUCCAAACCUGGACCUUCAUCACCUUUUGUUUCAUCUCAAGACAAUUCUGAGGGACUGUUUUGGAGCGUGUCUGGAAGGUGAACCUUGAAGAAGAGUGUGGGCUUUGAUGUGACUCAGUUGAGAUCUUUCAUGGGGAGGCAGGAAUUCAAUGCCCAGAAUCUGGGCUGGUGUCUUUGAGGUCAGUAGGUUGCGUCUUUGUAUCCAAGUCCAUUGUUACUAGGUUGGAGGCUGGAGAUUCUAAAUGGCUUCCAGACCAUCUCUCUGAUUCUCUUUGGGAGAUGGGGUCUGAAAGACAAUGUCAGUAGUUUUGGGAAAUUCUAGAAAGUGUGCUUGGAAACGUGGGAAGAGCUCUUGCCUAGUGCCUAAAUGCUCCAUUUGCAGCUCUAGCCAAGUAGAUACUUGGUAGGUAUAGAGCCGGGUUUGCGUUUAUAUCAGCAAAACCUAUGUCAGAGUUGAAGAAGUAGUCAGGAAAAAGCGUCUUGGUCGCAGGCCGGGGAACAUCUUAAAAGCAAACUUCUAGCCUGCUGACUCUUGGCAAUGAGUGUUGGAUCCUGGCUAAAGUGCCUUGAAUGCAGCAUGAGGCCAAUCCAUGAAUCCAACUUCUCAUGGAGAAAUGUUAAUAUUUUUUCAGUUUGAAUCAAUCAGGGUGAAACUACCAUGCUAUUGGUUUGCUUACUUUUUAUUAUUUCAUGUAAAAUCUAAGACAAAAUACAUUAAAUGCUUAUUGACAUAUGUAUUUAUUCUUCACCAGGCUGAUAAUAUCUGCCUAAUUUUAAACUUUCUUCCAUUUUGUAGGUUUCAACUUAUUCUAUUGUAAGAUACUGUUAAAUCUAAUAGAGGCAUUGUCACUUUUACGUAUAAUUUUAUUUUAUUUCAUAUAUUUCCUAUUGGCUUUUUACAUUUAAAUUAUGGAGCACUUCAUCAUAUAAAAAACUUCAAUUAUAUUUAAACAGUAAGUCUUUGGAUUUUUUUGCCUUGUAAUUUCCAUAUUACAUAAUAAUGAGAUAAACAUUAAUGUUUUCAGGGUACUUUAAAUUUUAGAUAAUUACUCAUUGUAUUCAUGUGAAAUUUGUUUUUACUGCAUGUGUGGGUUGGAGGACUGUUUUCACUUCUGAUUCAUCUUUACUCUUAUCUCAUCAGAGCUCAUACCUCUUGUAGUUGGGGGAUUGCAGUUUAUAAUUCCAAUAAAUGGGGCAAAUUCAAUAAUAACAUAAUACAAAUGAGUUUGAAUGCAGGACAGGUCUUCAAAGCAUACACAACAUGGGCCUACAUAUGUACAACAAUAAUAAUUUAUAAGUUACUGUUUGGAUGGAAAGUAAAAGUACAGAAAAUUUGUUAAAGGAAAUUAAAAUGGAGAUCAUGUCUCAAUAAUCUCUGAGCAGACAAAAUUAGUUAGGUCUCAUAAGUGAUCUCAACCUCGCUUGAUUUGCAAAUACAAACAAAACUUAAAUUAUUUCUUGUAGCUGCAUAUUGAAAAAAGAGAAAUGAAGCUCAACCAGUCAGAAGUAGCCAACAACCUUAUAUAAAUAGAAACUGUCCAACAAGGUAAACAGACAAACAAAAAACAAUAAAAAAAGUUGUGCUACCACCAAAUGAUUUCUUUGUUUCUACAUUUUUCAAAUAAAUACUUGCUUCUUACACUGUCAAUGAAGCACUCAAUAUCUUUCCGUCUGAUAUUUUAUAAUUUAUCAAUUGCUCUUACUCAAAUAAACACUUUGCAAUUUC